GACGAACGCUGGCGGCGUGCUUAACACAUGCAAGUCGAACGGAAAGGCCCUGCUUUUGUGGGGUGCUCGAGUGGCGAACGGGUGAGUAACACGUGAGUAACCUGCCCUUGACUUUGGGAUAACUUCAGGAAACUGGGGCUAAUACCGGAUAGGAGCUCCUGCUGCAUGGUGGGGGUUGGAAAGUUUCGGCGGUUGGGGAUGGACUCGCGGCUUAUCAGCUUGUUGGUGGGGUAGUGGCUUACCAAGGCUUUGACGGGUAGCCGGCCUGAGAGGGUGACCGGCCACAUUGGGACUGAGAUACGGCCCAGACUCCUACGGGAGGCAGCAGUGGGGAAUAUUGCACAAUGGGCGGAAGCCUGAUGCAGCAACGCCGCGUGCGGGAUGACGGCCUUCGGGUUGUAAACCGCUUUCGCCUGUGACGAAGCGUGAGUGGCGGUAAUGUGUAAAGAAGCACCGGCUAACUACGUG
rnacentral:rRNA from 1 species